CGUAUUUUUCCCAUCAGUGUUUUCUUUCCUCUGGCCUCGAAAUUUUUAUGCCAACCCUAAAAAGCCUUCCCUUCCCGAACUCGUGUCCUUCAAACCCCUCUCCGUCCAACCCCUCUCCGACAAACCCCUCUCCUCAAAUCUCUCCUUCGAACUCCUCUCCGUCCAACCCCUCUAUGACGAAACCCUCUCUACGAAUCUCUCCUCUGAACACCUUCAAACAAUAGGUUGUUUUUUAGGAUCAGUCAUGCCUUGCCUUGAAAGCCUUCACUACCACUCGAAGCAAGCAGUGGUACCAUGUCGAUCUCAACCUCUACACAGAGAUGAUCUCCACCUUGUCUAGGUGCGGAUCGCCGCACGAGAUCGAUACCCUAGUCGCCAAUCUAAUGGAGGAGGAGGGAUGGCUCUCCGCGAAGACCGCCAAGGGGGUUCCCCAGCUCGUUAGGGCUUUGAUGGCCGAUCGGUGGUGAGGAGGAGAGCCGAUUGGCGGUAGCGGAGAAUGUCAAGAUUGGAUUUUACUUCGCCACGUGGUGGGCGCUGAACGUGGUGUUCAACAUCUACAAUAAGAAGGUUCUCAAUGCCUUCCCCUACCCUUGGCUGACCUCCACGCUCUCCCUCGCCGCCGGCUAGCUCCCUUAUAUUAAUGCUCAUCUUCUGGGAUACUAGGGUUACCGAGCUGCCCAAGACCGACUUGGGAUUUUGGAAAUCCCUAACUCCGGUGGUCAUGGCUCACUUCUGCACUUUACCACUAUGCCAUUAAAUGUCUCAUUUCAUUCUAGACCAACCUUGUAAGCAUAUGAAUAUUGGUCAAUAUUCGAUGCAAAUGUUUUGAGUUUGAAGGAAUUCACUGAUCCAACGCCUAAAGAAGGAACAUCCAUUUUGAAGGCAAUAUCUUCAGCUAUGGUAUUGCUCAAAGGUAAACAAUCAUCAUGUGGUGUUGCAUUGUUAACUGAUUCUAAUUAUGGGACAUGAAUCUAAACUCGAAUUUAAGGCUCCCAAAUUAAGAAGCACACCUUUCUAAUUAUCCAUUGAAAAAAUAUAUCAUAAAGAAUUAAUAUUUCCAAUUUAUAGGAGUAAAUGCUCAAUGCUAGUGGAUAUUAUGUUCCUUAAUUUUUAUACAUGUAACUGCAAUAAAGUCAUUACACAUUUUUUGAUAUAUUGUGGUCAUGUGAUCACUGUUUUCUUUAGACAGGAUUUAGCUAAUAGUCUUUGCCUCAGUUUUCUUAAAGGAGUUAUUUAUCUUUGGUAGUGAACCAAGAUGAGGUAUUUGUUAGAUUUUAUUUUAAAUUAAAUUGUCACUUUUUUUAUUAAUCAUCCUAUCUAACUGUCAUCAUUUGAAAUUAUUAGAAGCCUCGAAGGAAGAAGCUUGAACAACCAAAAAAGAAACAUACUUUGUCAACAAGUAUCCCAAGAGCAUUACAUAUGUUAUAUUGUUAUAGUAAGCGUGCUUUAGAUGUUUGUUUGGCGUUGCAUGCUGAGGCUGUCAAGCCUAAAUCUAAUACACUGUGAUUUAUACCUUCGUUGCUUAUUAUUUCACUGUCAUUUACCUUUCUGUUUUUGAUUUUGUUUGGAUAUCCUUUUUAACAUUGCAUGACAUAAUUUUGCUUGUUUCUACAGGUUUGAUGUUGUUAUACACUUCGCUAGACUAAAAGCUGUUGGUGAAAGUUCAUUUAGGAAUACUUUUAUUUGUCUAAACCCCUACUACAUUUUGCUGGACACAGUUUAUAAUUACUUUUUCUUUAUCUUACAGUGAGAGUCUUCACCAGCAUUCAAGAAAAUGCUCUAGUUAGUGGUAUCCUUUUGACUUCCUAGUAAAAUAUAUUUGAUUUUUGAGCAAUAGUUUCUCCAGCUUAUUAAUUUUCACUGCUGUUUAUUAGUGGGUUCUUAUCAAUCCUAGUGGCUAGUUGCUUGGAUGUAGAUGCUCCAAUUCUAAUCAACACAAUGACACUCUAAUAUGGAUAAUUUUUGUUUUGUACACAAUCUAAUUAUCAUUGGUGACUAGUCACUUAGGUGGAGAUGCUCCAGUUCUUAAACUCUAGAUCAUUUUUUUCCUACUUGGCUGCAGCCACAUCAACAAUAGUUAAAAAAUUACAAGGGCAACAAUUAAGCUGUAGUUCAGAUACAUUGAAGUACUUUCUUGUCUUAAGUUUGUUGCCCUUAAUUCAUGCUAAGUCAUUAUGGGUUCAGUGAUCAACAUUGUGAUGAAUGGCACAACAUUAAGUAUAUUCUGCAAGCUUUCUUUGCAAAUAUUCUGCAAGCUUUCUGCAAGAUUUUUGUAAGCUUUAUGUAAGAUUUUUGGCAAGCUUUAAGUCUAUCAAGCAUGUUAAACUAAAAAUUCUACAAGCUUUCUUUAGGAAGUUGGCAAUUUUCCACUAUUAGUUAAACUCAUAUUCUAAACGUUUCAUUUUAGUUUUCUUUCUGCAAAUACUGUAUGCAUUUUAGAAUGAAGAAAUAUUGUAUGCAUUUUAGAAUGGAGAAAUUACAAGCUUUCUCUGCAUAUUAGAAACUGAAGAAUGCAGUUUAGAAACUGCAUGCAUUUUAGAAUGCAUAUUAGAAACUGCAUGCAUUUUAGAAUGCAGUUUGAAGAAACGUUGCCUUUCUUUCUGCAAGCUUUCUUUCUGCAAGCUUUAUUUCUGCAGUUUGAAGAAACGUUGCAUUUCUGCAACAACAGUGCUUUUUGCAAGAAAGCAUUUGCAGAGAAGAAAGCGUUUCAUUUCUGCAAGCUUUCUUUCUGCAGUUUGAAGAAACGUUGCAUUUCUGCAAGCUUUCUUUCUUUCUUUCUUUCUGCAAGCAUUUCAUUUUUGAGUAAUGAGUUUUGGUUCAUUUAUAGAAACUAGCUAGUAUAAGUAAUUUUUUGGUUCAAACUAUUGGCUGUAAUUUUUUGUUUAUAUUUCAGGCUAACUGUUCAAUAUGUUCAAAGCUCACAAAGAUCCUAGCCAAAAUCCAAUUGCUUAUUCUUGUAAUAGAUUGAGAAAGACAAGUUACUUCUUCAGUAUUGUGGUAGUAAUUACUGUACUGUUUUGUCCCGUUCUUAAGCCGAUAAUAAUUUUUGAGUGUAGCUAGUAGAAGUAAACAGAUUAUUGGCUUUGAGGUCGGCUAGUUAUUUUGUGCUCUUUUGUUUUAUAUGUGAAUAUCACUAUCUACUUUGAAACAGAAUUAGUGUUAAUUUUGAUA